rnacentral:piRNA from 1 species
UGUAAGAUCACAAUAACAGGCCCCACAGA